UUGGGGACCAGGGCCAGUGAGCAGAGCGGUCUCCAGGGCUUCUCCACUGCUGGCUCUCCCCAGGAAGCAGCCUCAGCUGGCGUUCUGGGGACUGGGGCUGGCCACCAGGGAGGGGUGGACAGUGCAGGAGCCGGCUGCCCGGCUCAGCAGGGAUUUGUGGAGGCUGACUGGCAUGGUUUUGGGUCCGACUUGCCUGGAAGCCUGGCCAGGGGUGGCUCAGGUUUCCCGCCAGCUGGGCUUCCUCCUCCUCCGUGUGAGUGACGCCCCACCGCCAUGAUGUCAUCACCUCGUACAAACAGAAGGGAGACUGGCUUGGUGGAGCUGGCAGCCGUCCCACGCUGAGUGCAGCAGUUCUCCGUGACAGGGAGCCUGCAGCCAGCAGCAGCGUAAGGCCCGAGCCAGACUCUCGUCACCUCCAGUCUCAAACCCAGCCUCGCGUCCUUGGAACCAGCUUCGGGAAGCGUGGGACAGGCAACAGCCAGCCCAGAGUAGGGCGAAGUGCUGCAGCCUUGGGGAGGGGCCUGGCGCAGAGAUACAGUCACCCUAGCCAGGGGCAGAGAUAGACACGGGCUUUCUGUGGCUCGUCACCCUGAGUCCCUCUGGACUCCCUGUAUUGUAUCUCAGAGAUUUCUUGUUCUCACGUCCCCCCACUGACUAUAACCUCUUAAGGCUACGGCCUCAUGUCAAAUUCAUUCAACAGGUAUUUCUGGGCACCAGCCAUGGGCUGUGCAGGAGCUGGGGAAAUGGAUGGGAGGUGGCCCCCUUUUUCCUGCAGUGAAAACCAUCAAUAUGAAAGAGACAGAGCCCAUAGUGUGCUGGGUGCCGUGGCCAGUGUGACCCAGGGCAAUGGGUGGGUGCCAGCAAGGUUGGUGUGGUCUGGGGGGCUGUCUGGGAUGUCUCUAGUGGGACCCAGAAGUUGAGUCAGGUGAUCCACGGGGAAGGAGGAGGCAGGCUCUGCUUCAGACCAGGGAGCGAGCGGCUCUGGGAGGCCCAAAGGCCGGAGGACACCCAGGCAUCCAGGGGGUCAGGCUGGCUGAACCAGAGCUGCGUGGGGGCAGGGCCUGGGCUGGUGGCACAGGGGUAGGGGAGGGGGCCGAAGGUGAGUCCAGGGAGAUGGAGACAGCAGCAGCUGUUGGUAGUGACUCACUGCUGUGCCAGAUGAUUGAAAACACAUGUUCUCACUGAGAGACAAGCUUAUUACUCAGAGCCGAGGGUUCUUGGGUAACA